AUUUAAUGCUCCUGGCUGUGGUUUGAAUUUCUCCUGGAGUGUCUCCCAACUUGUAGCUUUUCACUUUCUCCUGCUGUUUUUAUUUUAAUGACGCUGUUGUGGCUCCACUUGUCUGGCACACCGUUUGCUUUCAGUCCACAUACGAUAGCUUGGCUGUGCAAUUGGCUCAUUGUUAUUCAUGCUCAAGAAUGCGAGGCCUUUGUAAACUGGUUCCUGUUGCCUAUCAAUUUCAAUGAUUUUCUUCAGCUAUCAAAAACACACUCCAUUGGACUCAUCUACUAUAUCUAUCUUCCGGCAUAGAUCAUGCAAGUUUUUGCCACAGACAGGCACUAAGGUGGAAGCUACACGAUACAGGCUAAAUGAAGUGGAAUAUAGGCAGAAAUCUCUACCACUGCCAUGCCUUACGAAGGGCAAUGGACGUCUGAGAUGUGUGAUGCUUUGAGAGAAGGUGACUGGAGCUGGGGAUGACAAAGCCCAUCUUAGAACCCCAUGGAGCAUCUUCACAUGGCAGAAGGGAAGCCACUCUGCAUCUCUGAGGAAUCAAGAACUAGAGACUUAUGUUCUCACUGGGUUCCUUUUCAUACAUCUCAGUGUCUACUUCUUAGCCAACUGCUCUUUAAGAUCACAAGUGUUCACCAUAUACAUGCCCACCCAUUUGUUGACAAUCAGAUGAAGUUUAAUGUAAAUCAUAGACCACCCCUUACUCUUCCCUUUCUCCCCUCUACUUGUUCACAGAGACAGGGUCUUGCUAUGGGUGGCCACCACAUUAAGCUUCUUUAUAUUUUCUUAGUUGUUCCUGGCCAUAUACAGAAACCUAUUUGUUCUUUUUCAAAUGAUCUACCAAGUUUGUUUCUCUAUUUAGCUACCUAAAGCCCAUGUCUGGGGACAAGGCAGAAGAGUGGCAUGUGGCUGUUCUAGUCCAAAGGCACAAGCCUGUUAAGGCUCCAUUCUUCACUCUAAGUCAUAUAAUGACUAAUUUCUCCAUGGGAUUCUUUCAAAGCGUGCGUCUAUGUGUUGCUUUUAUUGGUUAAUGAAUAAAGAAACUGCCUUGGCCUGUUGAUAGGGCAGAAC